rnacentral:tRNA from 2 species
GCGGUCGUGGCGGAAUUGGUAGACGCACUACCUUGAGGUGGUAGCGGGGCGACCCGUGAAAGUUCGAGUCUUUUCGACCGCACCA